rnacentral:antisense_RNA from 21 species
GGGUGCUCUUGGCUGUCUGUCAGGAGCAUAACAACUGUCACUGGAUGUCGUGACUGGCAGAUAGACGAAAGCCCCGAAAGUUAAUUUCUUAACCAACGAGGCAAUCUGAUGAAACUCGACACUUCUGAUGUUAGCCUCUAUUUAAUUGAGAGGCAAGACGUAUGCUGCGAAG